GACGAACGCUGGCGGCGUGCCUAAUACAUGCAAGUCGAACGCCUUUAUUCUCACCGGAGCUUGCUCCACCGGGAAUAAAGGAGUGGCGGACGGGUGAGUAACACGUGGGUAACCUACCCAUCAGCGGGGGAUAACACUUGGAAACAGGUGCUAAUACCGCAUAAUUCCUUUUACCGCAUGGUAAAAGGCUGAAAGGCGCUUCUGGUGUCACUGAUGGAUGGACCCGCGGUGCAUUAGCUAGUCGGUGGGGUAAUGGCCUACCGAGGCAAUGAUGCAUAGCCGACCUGAGAGGGUGAUCGGCCACAUUGGGACUGAGACACGGCCCAAACUCCUACGGGAGGCAGCAGUAGGGAAUCUUCGGCAAUGGACGAAAGUCUGACCGAGCAACGCCGCGUGAGUGAAGAAGGUUUUCGGAUCGUAAAACUCUGUUGUUAGAGAAGAACAGGAGAAGUAGUAACUGGCUUCUUUUUGACGGUAUCUAACCAGAAAGCCACGGCUAACUACGUGCCAGCAGCCGCAGUAAAAC
rnacentral:rRNA from 1 species